ACCGGCAGCUCAAGUGGUGGCCAUUAUUAUUGGGCCUAAAGCGUUCGUAGCCGGUUUGAUAAGUCUCUGGUGAAAUCCCGCAGCUUAACUGUGGGACUUGGUGGAGAUCCUAUCAGACUUGAGGUCGGGAGAGGUUAGGGGUACUCCCAGGGUAGGGGUGAAAUCCGAUGAUCGUGGGAGGACCACCUGUGGCGAAGGCGGCUAACUGGAACGAUCCUGACGGUGAGUAACGAAAGCCAGGGGAGCGAACGG
rnacentral:rRNA from 1 species